AAUGGACACGGCUCUCGCGCAGGCUCACACCUGCAUUCCCCCCUCCCCGCCGCCGGGGCCGUUAGUGCGGGGGGUGGGGAGCGGCUUUCCCCGAUUUUAGGCAAUGGCCCCUGGAAGCAAAUUUAAGAACUCUGAAUUGAUAUUACCAUGUGAAUGGGAAGAAUGCUUCUUUGUAGGAAAAUGCAUGGAGGAAUUUUAUAAUCACAUUGCGGAACACUUGAAAGAGUAUCUACAGCAUCCCUUGGAAAAAGCAGAGCAGUACCAGUGUUGGUGGAGAAGUUGUGAAUUUUUGGCAAAAGAUCCCAGAGAGCUGAUAAUGCAUGUCAAUUUUCACAGUUACCACACCAAACUCAAAUUCAUAGGCUCUCAGUUACGGGCACUGCAUCAUAAUUUGCCAGCAUGUUUGCAGAACAGCCAUAGCCAACAUCAGUUACCAAGGAUCUCAGAGGAAUUUGUUUGCCACUGGGAGAAUUGCGAUACUGUUCCGGAGUAUUUAAGGGAAAGUACAAGCUAUGGGAUCAUUUAAGAACCCACACACAAGAAAGAGUUGUGUCCUGUCCAACUUGUGGAAGAAUGUUCUCCAAUAGCACUAAAUUUUUCGAUCAUGUGAAGAGACAAGUUUCAGAAGAUAAACAAAUAUUGGCUUGCCAGAACUGUGACAAGCACUUUGCCAAUGAAAGGCUGCUACGAGAUCACAUGAGAGGAC